GGCGGUACUCAGGCCGGAACCGAUGGCGUUGGCAUCGCCGUGGCGCACGCCCUGGAUCACGUCCAGGGCGGCGUCU
rnacentral:tRNA from 1 species